UCGUGGACCAAUAGCGGUUGAAGCUGCCAGCAUGAUCUAAACUUCCCUCUUGGUCAAGGAAAGAUCAGAUCAUGUGGUAGCUUCACCUGUUGAUGGGGAUCACGA